UACGGAGGGGGUUAGCGUUGUUCGGAAUUACUGGGCGUAAAGCGCGCGUAGGCGGAUCGGAAAGUUGGGGGUGAAAUCCCGGGGCUCAACCCCGGAAUUGCCUUCAAAACUCCCGGUCUUGAGGUCGAGAGAGGUGAGUGGAAUUCCGAGUGUAGAGGUGAAAUUCGUAGAUAUUCGGAGGAACACCAGUGGCGAAGGCGGCUCACUGGCUCGAUACUGACGCUGAGGUGCGAAAGCGUGGGGAGCAAACAGGAUUAGAAACCCUUGUAGUCC
rnacentral:rRNA from 1 species